rnacentral:rRNA from 1 species
CACGCCGUAAACGAUGAUCACUCGUGAUUGGCGAUAUACGGUCAGUCACCUAGCGAAAGCGUUAAGUGAUCCACCUGGGGAGUACGAUCGCAAGAUUGAAACUCAAAGGAAUUGACGGGGGCCCGCACAAGCGGUGGAGCAUGUGGUUUAAUUCGAUGAUACGCGAGGAACCUUACCAGGGCUCGAACGUACGUUGACAGUCGCGGAAACGUGAUCUUCUUCGGACAACGUACGAGGUGC